rnacentral:rRNA from 1 species
UACGAAGGGGGCAAGCGUUGUUCGGAAUUACUGGGCGUAAAGCGUGCGCAGGCGGUUUUGUAAGCCAGAUGUGAAAUCCCCGGGCUUAACCUGGGAAUGGCAUUUGGGACUGCAAGGCUGGAGUGCGGCAGAGGAGACUGGAAUUCCUGGUGUAGCAGUGAAAUGCGUAGAUAUCAGGAGGAACACCUGUGGUGUAGACAGCUUGCUGGACCAUUUCUGACGCUGAGACACGAAAGCGUGGGUAGCAAACAGG